UACGAAGGGGGCUAGCGUUGCUCGGAAUCACUGGGCGUAAAGCGUGUGUAGGCGGUCUCAUAAGUCGGGUGUGAAAGCCCAGGGCUCAACCCUGGAAGUGCACUCGAAACUGCGAGGCUUGAGUACCGGAGAGGUUGGUGGAAUUCUCGGUGUAGAGGUGAAAUUCGUAGAUAUCGAGAGGAACACCGGUGGCGAAGGCGGCCAACUGGACGAGUACUGACGCUGAGACACGAAAGCGUGGGGAGCAAACAGG
rnacentral:rRNA from 1 species